UUCCGGUUGAUCCUGCCGGACCCCACUGCUAUCGAGAUGGGACUAAGGUAUGCUAGUCGAACGACCAGAACUAUGUCUGGGAGUGGCACACUGCUCAGUAACACGUAGCUAACCUACCCUUAGGACGUGGAUACCCCCGAGAAAUUGGGGUUAAUCCGCGAUAGAUGUAAUGUCCUGGAAUGGUAUUACGUCUAAAGGUAUUUCAUACAUGUUUGAAAUAUGCCUAAGGAUGGGGCUGCGGCCGAUCAGGCUGUUGGUGAGGUAAUGGCUCACCAAACCUUUGACCGGUACGGGCCAUGAGAGUGGUAGCCCGGAGAUGGACACUGAGACAAGGGUCCAGGCCCUAAGGGGCGCAGCAACCGCGAAACCUCCACAAUGCACUCACGUGCGAUGGGGCUAUCUCGAGUGCCACCUGAUGAAGGUGGCUUUUCCUAGGUCUUCAAAGCCUUGGGAAUAAGAGGGGGGCAAGACUGGUGUCAGCCGCCGCGGUAACACCAGCCCCUCGAGUGGUGGGGAUGAUUAUUUGGCCUAAAGCGUCCGUAGCCGGCCGAGCAAGUCUUCCGUUAAAUCCAGCGUCUCAAGCGUUGGACUGCGGGAGAUACUACACGGCUAGAGAGUGGGAGAGGUCAGCGGUAUUCUGGGGGUAGGGGCGAAAUCCUUUGAUCCCCGGAGGACCACCAGUGGCGAAGGCUGCUGACUAGAACACGUCUGACGGUCAGGGACGAAAGCUGGGGUAGCGAACCGGAUUAGAUACCCGGGUAGUCCCAGCCGUAAACGAUGCAUGCUA
rnacentral:rRNA from 1 species